UUUCCAGGAUCAGUAUAGCAGGAGAUCGUCAUAAAUCUGUUUCACAAGCAGAAUAUCUGCAGACAAUGUAUAGAAAUGUAGACUUUUUUAUUUUAUUAUAUUAUUAGAACUGAAACGGAAUACCCACGAUAGGGCGUCAGGGUGCCGGAAAACUGAAUCCCACAUAUGUACAUUCACCAAGACUGAAGGAGUGAAUCAGUUACUGAAAAUGAUCAUAAAUACAAAAACAUUCCACAGUCCACUGGAUGACUCCCUUAAACGCAGAUAAACCACCAAGAGACAUCGCAAAGAACCAUCUACCGUUAUAAGCACACAGGAGAUAGAUCAGCUCAAAGAACAAGAAGUGACUGAACAUAGAAUUCAAGAUUCAUACACAGGGCACUGUUGUUCGCACAUGCAAAUGGCCAAUGUAUUAAAUCUGAGCCGUACAGCGCAUCACUCCAUAAUGCGGGAAAAGACGCAGCACAGAAUGAGGUUCACAGUCUGAGAAUUACAGUGGGUGCUCCUGGGAGGUAACAGAGGGGUGACAAAACUAAUGUGUGUAUCGCUAAAAUCGAAGACGCACAACAGCUGACGCUGGAAGCCAUACUCUGAUGGAGACACUGCACCUGACCUAUGGCGCCGUCUAAAGACGCACAGUCAUGAAUACACAUUUUCUUAAGACGACGCAAGUGGCCGUCUCGCUCCUUUACAAAUCAGACGUGGCAUUUGUAUAAAAACACAGACAUGACAGAGGCUGAAGACUCAGCCGCUGCUGCAUCUGACUAAAUCAAAGCAAUAACUUUUCCACGCGUUUCACAUGUCUAUCAAAGCAAUCAAAUUUCAACGCGUUUCACAUAUGUACUUACACAAAUAACUCCUCCAGAAUAUCACACUUAGGCCCAGAUUUAUCAAGCCUUGGAGAGUGAUAAAUGGCACCGUGAAAGUACCAACAAACCAGCUCCUAACUGUCAGUUUUCAAACCCAGCUUGUAACAUGGCAGCUAGGAGCUGAUUGGCUGCUACUUUAUCAUUCCAAGGCUUGAUAAAUCUGGGCCUUAGAUUGUAAACUCCGUUGCUGCUGAACUAGCCUUGCUGGGAAGUUUAGCAACUUCAUAUAUGUGCUGAGUUAGUCUCAUUAUAAUUACAAUGAAAAUCAUUUUCCAU